rnacentral:rRNA from 1 species
UAGGUGUAGGGUGGCUUUUACCAUGCAAGUCGAACGGCAGCACGGGAGCUUGCUCCUGGUGGCGAGUGGCGAACGGGUGAGUAAUGCAUCGGAAUGUACCGUGUAAUGGGGGAUAGCUCGGCGAAAGCCGGAUUAAUACCGCAUACGCCCUGAGGGGGAAAGCGGGGGACCGAAAGGCCUCGCGUUAUACGAGCAGCCGAUGUCUGAUUAGCUAGUUGGUGAGGUAAGAGCUCACCAAGGCGACGAUCAGUAGCGGGUCUGAGAGGAUGAUCCGCCACACUGGGACUGAGACACGGCCCAGACUCCUACGGGAGGCAGCAGUGGGGAAUUUUGGACAAUGGGCGCAAGCCUGAUCCAGCCAUGCCGCGUGUCUGAAGAAGGCCUUCGGGUUGUAAAGGACUUUUGUUCGGGAGGAAAUCCCGCUGGUUAAUACCUGGCGGGGAUGACAGUACCGGAAGAAUAAGCACCGGCUAACUACGUGCCAGCAGCCGCGGUAAUACGUAGGGUGCAAGCGUUAAUCGGAAUUACUGGGCGUAAAGCGUGCGCAGGCGGUUUGUGCAAGUCUGAUGUGAAAGCCCCGGGCUCAACCUGGGAACGGCAUUGGAGACUGCACGACUAGAGUGCGUCAGAGGGGGGUAGAAUUCCGCGUGUAGCAGUGAAAUGCGUAGAGAUGCGGAGGAAUACCCGAUGGCGAAGGCACCCCCCUGGGAUGACUCUGACGCUCUUGCACGAAAGCGUGGGGAGCAAACAGGAUUAAAUUACCCU